GUGCUUCAAAUGGCCUCAAGAACUCUAGUCAGCUAGGUGUGUUGGUGCAUGUGCUGGUCUGGGGACAGACAGUACCACAGUAGAGCAAAGAAGACCCAGACGGGUCGGUUUCCAUUUGUCCUGGAGCCCGACACUACAGCUCUGGCACGCUU
ensembl:snoRNA